rnacentral:sRNA from 1 species
AAUUUAGCGGCGUUUGCCCUGAUUCCCGGGGCCUGGCUUUCAGCGUAGCAAUUCAGCUGGCGAAGAAGGUGAGGGCAGUGCUGUGUGGCAGCAGAGCUCCUUAAGACGAGGAGCAGCGGGACGAGGAAGGGCAGACUCUGGUGAAAUCGCAAACUGGGCGUCUGUUCCGGCCCGGGACUCCUGUAUGUAAAGGUCCAUGGCUAAUGAAACACAGAAGGUUGGUGCCAUCCGUUUUCCUUUUCCCUUCACGCCCUAUUCCAUCCAGGAAGACUUCAUGGCAGAGCUGUACCGGGUUUUGGAGGCUGGCAAGAUUGGGAUAUUUGAGAGUCCAACUGGCACUGGGAAGUCUUUAAGUCUUAUUUGUGGGGCCCUCUCCUGGCUCCGUGACUUUGAACAGAAGAAGCGUGAAGAAGAGGCACGACUCCUUGAAACUGGAACUGGCCCCUUACAUGAUGAGAAAGAUGAAUCCCUGUGUCUGUCUUCUUCCUGCGAAGGGGCUGCAGGCACCCCGAGGCCUGCUGGAGAACCGGCCUGGGUUACUCAGUUUGUGCAGAAGAAAGAAGAGAGGGACCUGGUGGACCGACUAAAGGCAGAGCAGGCCAGGAGGAAGCAGCGAGAAGAACGCCUACAGCAGCUGCAGCACAGGGUGCAGCUCAAGUAUGCAGCCAAGCGCCUGAGGCAGGAAGAAGAAGAAACGGAGAAUCUCCUCCGCCUCAGCAGGGAGAUGCUAGAGACAGGCCUGGGGGCUGAGCGGCCGGAGCAGCUGGAGUCUGGGGAGGAGGAGCUGGUCCUUGCCGAAUACGAGAGUGAUGAGGAGAAAAAGGCGGCGAGCGGAGUGGAUGAGGAUGAGGAUGACCUGGAGGAAGAACACGUAACUAAGAUUUAUUACUGUAGUCGGACACACUCCCAGCUGGCCCAGUUUGUGCAUGAGGUGAAGAAGAGCCCCUUUGGCAAGGAUGUUCGGCUGGUCUCCCUCGGCUCCCGGCAGGUAAACAGUAGCCAGUGUUUCCACCAGGGGCCAUCCUGCUCCUUUCCCCACAACUUUGUCCUCCUUGUCCAGGCCUGGGAGACGCUGGGCCUGCGACAGGCUGAACUGUGUGAGGAGCAGCCCCCUCCCUGGCCUGGCCGGCCCAUCACUGGAAGGCAAAGGAGAGGUGGCGGAGCAGGUCCAUGUGUGUUGGUAGGAUGUCAUUUACCCGGCACCAUCUCUUUGCCUCUUUCUUUCUCCUUUGUUGCAGAACCUUUGUGUAAAUGAAGACGUGAAAAGCCUAGGUUCUGUGCAGCUUAUCAACGACCGCUGUGUGGACAUGCAGAGGAGCAGGCACGGUAGCCACCGGGACCAUGGUGUAGCCAUAGGCAGUCUGGAGAGAGUGAGGGGGGGUGGCAGUGACUGAAGACCAUUAAGUGUCUUGCAUAGAAAGAAUGGCAGAGGAGACCCCAGUUCCUUCCUGAGUCCCCUCUUCCUUGGGAAAAAGUGUUCCUACUCUCUGGGUCAGUGUCUGGUCCGAAUCCUUGGCUUGGAGAUGAUUUUACAGGCUCUUUCUGGAAAACAAAAGUAAAACCUUAUAGUGUUCUGAUGAGACCACAGUAGGCAGUAUUUGGGAGGGUCUUACAGACCCCACCCCAUGGAAGUGGGUCUCAACAUUACAGAACCCCCUCUCGGGCCCGUGGACAGUUGCUGUCUUCUCUGUUUUCUCUCUUUGUGCCUGUGCCACCCUC